rnacentral:rRNA from 1 species
AUGCCGUCCCCGGCGCUGGCCCUCGCGCUCCUCCUCCUAGCCGCAAGCAUAGCAGCUUCCCAGGCGGAGACCAAGUGCCUAGACUCCGUUGCUUCUCCCUCCGCCGCACCAGCACCACCGACGUCCAACACUACCAACAGCAGCGCGUUCCAGGCCAACGUCCUCACGCUCCUGAACGCCCUCCCCCGGGCGGCGGCGCCAACGGGUUUCGCCUCCCUCUCCUUGGGCACCGGCCGCGACCGUGCCUUCGUCCGCGGCCUCUGCCGCGGCGAUACCACACCGUCCGAGUGCCUCGCGAGCCUGCAAGCAGGCGUCCUGGACUCCCGCGGCAAGUGCGCGUCCAACCGGAGCGUCGCAUCCUGGUACGACAAGUGCUACAUCACCUACGCCGACACAAACGCCACGAACAACUACAACUACGAGGUGCGCUCGCUUGAUGUGCUGAGCGACAUCCCGACAUCUUUUGACCGGAGUAGCCACGACCAGGAGUUCUACUCGCUGUUAGAUCGCCUGGUGGCACGGGCGGCAAGCGCCGGAGGCACUGGGGAGGCGAAGUUCGCCACCGGGGAGGCCGUGUACGCACCCAAUGGGACGAUGUACGGUCUCGCGGAGUGCAUGAGGGACCUUAGCGGCGAGGAGUGCAAUCAGUGUCUGCAAUUAUUGUUGACCCCUAUGCCGUCCUGCUGCAACGGAUAUCAGGGAGGGACGGUGCAAAACUUCAACUGCCGACUUCGGGUUCAAGCAUAUGCCUACUAUGACCUGGCGCUCGACGCUCCGCCUUCGGCUGCCGCACCGCCCGGGCCCAUCUCCUCGCUCGGAAAGAGGAGAUUACAACAAGUCAUCCUUGAUGUUGGUAUUUCUGUUGGAACUUUAUUAGUCCUAGUGGUUGUGCUCGCUUGUGUUUUCCGGCAGAGGAGAAGGAUCAAGGCCAACAAGGAAAACCAAGAUAAUGCAGGGGAUGGCAUGAACUAUAUUAGUCUGGAAGCGUUAAGAGCUGCAACAUCCAAUUUUUCUAUAAACAAUAAACUGGGAGAAGGAGGAUUCGGAGAGGUGUUUAAGGGCGAAUUGCAGGAUGGAACCAAAAUAGCCGUCAAAAGGCUCUUAAAGGACUCUGCUCAAGGGCUCGAUGAGUUGAAAAAUGAGCUAAUGUUAGCUAACAGACUUAAGCACAAGAAUCUGGUGCAGCUUCUCGGCGUUUGCUUGCGAGAGAAAUUGAUGGUGUACGAAUACAUGCCUAAUGGAAGCCUACACACGAGCCUUUUCAGUUCAGAGAAGGCACACCAGCUGGAUUGGACGAAAAGAAGCAUGGUCAUCUCUGGGAUUGCUCGAGGUCUAUUGUAUCUCCACCAGGAGUCUCGUCUAAAAGUCAUACACCGCGACCUGAAGCCAAGCAACAUCUUACUGGACCUGGAUAUGACACCCAAGAUCUCGGACUUUGGUCUGUCUAGGGCUUUCGGUGGAGAUCAAUCAAUGGAUAUAACAAAACGUCCUGUCGGUACAAUUGGAUACAUGUCUCCGGAGUAUGCGUACUGCGGCCAAGUCUCUACCAAGUCCGACAUGUACAGCUUCGGAGUCAUAGUUCUAGAGAUUGUGACUGGUAGGAGGAACAAUAGGUCGGUUGAAGAUGAUACUGCCUGCAGAUCUCUGCUCAGCUACGUAUGGGAGAAGUGGAGCGCAGGCUCGAUGGAAGGGGUGGUAGAUCCUUCCCUGGCCGGACGUUACCCUGACAGCGAGGUGCGAAACUGCGUGCAAAUCGGGCUGCUGUGUGUCCAGAGGAAUCCCAGCGCCCGGCCGACCGCGUCGGAAGUGGUCGUCAUGCUCGACAGCCAUUCCAUGUCGAUGACUAUGCGGACUCCCCCCAGGCCAGCGUUCUGCUUCGCACAACCUGGCAUCAUCAGUCCAUCACUCAGUUACCACAGCAACCUGGAUGCCCCCGGUUCAAGCAAUGACGUGACGAUAUCCGAUGUGCAGCCUAGGUAG